AAAUGAAGCAAGCCCCGUUACGCGCAUCGCGGAAACGCUUCCUCCAUUACUCGACGCAGAACGUCACAUCACUAGUAAAUAUCAUAAAAGAUACUAACAAAGAACAAAGCGUAAAAGGAGAGCAAUAACAAGAGUGAAAGUAAACCUGUAAUGUGGAGGAAACGGACAGUGAGCGCAGUGUAACCGUGACAACGAGACACGAGGACGGAUUUAAAGUGAUCAUAAAAUCGUCUCCAGACGGUCGUCGUUCGUCCAGUAGGCGGGAUUAAUGCACCUGUAAGCUGAUUUGUCAAACGCCAUCAGGUCCCGAAGAAGAACGGAGGAGGACAGCACUACUGUGGUAGAGGAGCAGUGUGUGUGCAGACAUAGCUGCUGUUGAUGAAGCGAACUGAACUUGGAGGAGAGACACAAACUGAAGUAUCAAUCCCGUCACAUCAGUGUUGAUCUGAUACCAACGUCUGUAUCGCUUUUAUUGAUGCUUGUAUCGAUCCGCUCAGCCCCAGUUGAAGCAGCAAUGAGUUCAGUUCAGUAUCUGAGAGAGUUCAUCAAGAAGAGAUUAACUGCUGUUUGUGAAGAAAUCUUCUCAGAGGUUCAAAAAACCAUCGUCCAGUAUGAGGAGGAGAUCAACCAUCAGCACAGACUGCCGGAUAUCAGCCGGAAACCCGACAGAAACUCACACAUCAUAGACCUCCCACAACAAUAUGACUGUGAGGAAGAGGAGGGUCUGGAUGAGCAGCAGGUCUGUAACCAGGAGAGGAACUCCAGUCUGGACCAGGAGGACCCAGAGCCUCCACAGAUUAAAGAGGAACAAGAGGAGCUCUGCAGCAGUCAGGAGGGAGAGCAGCUUGGACUGAAGAAGGAGGCUGAAGGCAUUAUCGUCUGGACUGAUGAAGAGCAGCUCAGACUGCUGGAGACCAUCUGUAAACCUGAGAUAAAGUUACACAGAAUAGGUAUGUAAAACUGUGAUGUUUUAAUAACAGUGAAUAUGACUCAUGGGUGUCACAGUGGAACAGUGGCUAGCGCUGUUGGCCCACAGCAACAAGGUCCUGAGUUUGACUCCAUCAUGUGGCCGGGCCUUUCUGUGUGGAGUUUGCAUGUUCUCCCCUUGUUCACUCUCCAGAGACAUGCAGACAGCUGGGUUAGGUUAGUUGGUUGCAUUUAUUUUCAGAGUCACAGGAAGAAUUGAAAGUCCAAAAGUAAAAAGCAGCAUGAUUUAAUCUCUUUGGCAUAAUUUUCUGUUUUCAUUUACAUAAAUGCAUUUCCACCAUUAAUUCAUGCAAAAAGGUGAAAAAUUAGUGCAUAAGAAUUCAGCAGAAUGAAAGAUGUGAAACAUCUGAGUUUCAAAUUUCCACCCACUGCUCAGACAAAAUCUGCACAGAGACACAAAGCCAACAACACAAGUUUCAUUUUGUUGUGUUAUCAGUUUAAGAAUUACAUGUUUCCUCUGCAGCAUGGAAAUGGUGAGUUUUGAACAGUUUACAGGUCUGAGUAAGUAUGAAUAAAUAUUUCUAUUCUGUUUUGGAAAAUAUGAAUUCAGAGUUUCUAAACUGAAAUUUAUCAGACAAAGAGAGUUUUCAUGGCAUUUCAGGCACAGCCAAAACACUGGUGCAAGAGAGCUCUGCCCCAGCAUGCCAUCUUAUAACUAUAGCCAAUCCAGACAUCCACAUUCAUUUAACAAAAAACAUUUAGUUAUUUCUAGGGCUGCCAUGAUUAGUCUACCAUCAAAAUCGUCCACCACUAAUUUAAUAGUCAACUUGUCAUGGGAAGUUUUGUA
ensembl:lncRNA